rnacentral:rRNA from 1 species
UACGUAGGGGGCGAGCGUUGUCCGGAUUUAUUGGGCGUAAAGAGCUCGUAGGCGGCUUGGCAAGUCGGGUGUGAAAACUCCAGGCUCAACCUGGAGAUGCCACUCGAGACUGCUAUGGCUAGAGUCCGGUAGGGGACCACGGAAUUCCUGGUGUAGCGGUGAAAUGCGCAGAUAUCAGGAGGAACACCAGUGGCGAAGGCGGCUCUGG